GUGGAAAGGGUUUUCAAUCACAAAUUUUCCCCACCAUACUUUUAUUGUGUUCUAUAUAUAGAAGCAAAAACCAAGAAAGUUAUGGUGGGGAAAAAUUGUGAUUGAAAACCCCUUCCUC